ACUCCAUGACCAAUAUCAGCGCCGGAUCGCCGUCGACCUUGCCGACGAGUCCACCUUCGCCAUCAAGUGGGCCGUCCACCAUUACCUCUGCCCCAGCGACGCCAAAAUCAGACCAAAUCAAUGGGUAUCACAUGAGACCCAUCGACGAUACACCGGAUAUUGAUGGAGAAAAAUGAAGAUGGGUUAUGUGAAAAUGGAAUUAGAAAAUUGUAGAUGGGUUAUGCUCGAACGCCGCCAUCUGGAUCGCCGGUCACGAGGAGUCUGACGACCAACAGGGUUCAGAAACGAAUUAUUCUCCGAGGAGGACUCCGAUCUGAUCAGGCUGAGGUUUUUGAAGGACAAUCCGAUGAAACUCACGCACCUUUCGACACUACUACUCAACGAUGAGGUGUUGCUUGAAGGUCUCUCCUUGCUGUCCCAAUAUUGCAAAGCUACUGUAGCAUUAUUAUUCUUCUUCUUUUGUUUUGUUUUGUUUUUUUUGUCAAAGGUAGCGUUAUUCAGUGUGAUGUGUUCGACGAUAUUUUAGCUCCAAAGCUUGAUUGAUGAUUUCUUGUAGUAAUCGAGUUUGUGGAGGAAUUAAGAUUUGAGAGCUGUGAGAACCGUGUAUUUUUCUAUGAGAACUGUAUAAUUUCUAUGAGAA